UGAUGAACAGGGAACCUUCUGAGGAGUACAGCAACAUUCACAAGGGUUGAGAUGGAGAGUGAGUACCACCUACCAGCAUCUGGGGCACCACCUGCCUUUGCUGCUGUAGCUAUGCCCUAGUCUCUAAGCAAUAGAAAAACUAAUUGAACUGGUGUUAAUAAUACAUGGAUGUAAUAUCUGACAUAAUAAGAAGUUCAGAGGCAACAUGAUUCUGAGCAGUUUCAAGAGCAACUAUGUCCCGAUGGGGAAAAGAAUCUAAGGGAAGGCUGUCCGUUUGUUAAGGCUCCGAAGCACUCAAAGCUGGGACACUGUAUAUUUCAAUUCAAGAAUCUCUUACCAAAGAUAUGCCGUGGAUAAAAAAGGUGUGUAAAAGGCCGCAUAGAC
rnacentral:lncRNA from 1 species